UCCAUUCUUUGGUGGCCAGUCUAGGCAUGCCCGCAACCCUAGCCGUCAAUGCAAACUACUCAGAUAUAGAAGUACAUCCUGACUUCGUAGGAUACCUCAACCGCACGCAGGAGCCGAUCGCCGCCGGCAGCUUUCCAGGCUGAGACCUCCUCGCCGCCGCUGCAAGUUCCGUCGCCGCUGUGCUGCCCACGUGUCGAGAGCGCCUAACAGAGUGACGGCCGGGCGGCCGGUGUGCCGCGUGCUCAUCAAUCUGUUCUUGCUGUAUGCGUAGAUCGUAACGCUCGUCUUACUAAUUGAUUUGGAUUUUUGCAGGUGGUUAAUUACUUCACGGCAAUGGCAAGAACUUUCUAGCUACUCCGAUCUAUUUGUGGUCAAAGAAGGCUCAAAGGCUUGGAUCUGGAAGGGUAUUUGGAGCAGCAAUUACUCUGACAAUUGUGAAGGCCAAAGGCUGAAGCUGUAGUAGAUAAUACAUAGAUGCAUUACAUGUUCCCCUGUGUUAGAUUUGGAUGCGUAGAGUGAUCAAUUUCCACUUUAUAUAUGUAGCAUUUGUCCUUUUUUUUUACUUUCCUCAAUGUACCAGCCUACUCGUGAGGCAUAUAUAAUGAAACUAUCUUCCUUCCUAAUA